rnacentral:rRNA from 1 species
AGUGAACGCUGGCGGUAGGCCUAACACAUGCAAGUCGAACGGCAGCACAGUAAGAGCUUGCUCUUACGGGUGGCGAGUGGCGGACGGGUGAGGAAUACAUCGGAAUCUACUUUUUCGUGGGGGAUAACGUAGGGAAACUUACGCUAAUACCGCAUACGACCUACGGGUGAAAGCAGGGGACCUUCGGACCUUGCGCGAUUGAAUGAGCCGAUGUCGGAUUAGCUAGUUGGCGGGGUAAAGGCCCACCAAGGCGACGAUACGUAGCUGGUCUGAGAGGAUGAUCAGCCACACUGGAACUGAGACACGGUCCAGACUCCUACGGGAGGCAGCAGUGGGGAAUAUUGGACAAUGGGCGCAAGCCUGAUCCAGCCAUACCGCGUGGGUGAAGAAGGCCUUCGGGUUGUAAAGCCCUUUUGUUGGGAAAGAAAAGCAGCAGGUUAAUACCCCGCUGUUCUGACGGUACCCAAAGAAUAAGCACCGGCUAACUUCGUG